rnacentral:lncRNA from 1 species
CCAAAAUCACCUCCCAUCUCUGGGUUGAUCGUGGCUUGAUAUUUAUGAAAAGAACAGUUGUGGAAUCCCGAUUCAUUUCAUCGAAAAUUUCCUCCCAGAUGGUGAGAAAUCACCGAAAAACCGAGCAUAGAUCAUGAAACUUGAAGAUUGCAUGAUGCUAAAAAAUCUCAAUUUCUUUCUAAAAAUAAACCACAUUCCAGCAAGAAAAUGCCCACAAAAUACACUGCAUUGGAAAGCGC